GAUGAACGCUGGCGGCGUGCCUAAUACAUGCAAGUCGAGCGAACAGACGAGGAGCUUGCUCCUCUGACGUUAGCGGCGGACGGGUGAGUAACACGUGGAUAACCUACCUAUAAGACUGGGAUAACUUCGGGAAACCGGAGCUAAUACCGGAUAAUAUAUUGAACCGCAUGGUUCAAUAGUGAAAGACGGUUUUGCUGUCACUUAUAGAUGGAUCCGCGCCGCAUUAGCUAGUUGGUAAGGUAACGGCUUACCAAGGCAACGAUGCGUAGCCGACCUGAGAGGGUGAUCGGCCACACUGGAACUGAGACACGGUCCAGACUCCUACGGGAGGCAGCAGUAGGGAAUCUUCCGCAAUGGGCGAAAGCCUGAGGAGCAACGCCGCGUGAGUGAUGAAGGGCUUCGGAUCGUAAAACUCUGUUAUUAGGGAAGAACAAAUGUGUAAGUAACUAUGCACGUCUUGACGGUACCUAAACAGAAAGCCACGGCUAACUACGU
rnacentral:rRNA from 1 species